UACGGGGGCCCCUAGCGUUGUUCGGAAUCACUGGGCUUAAAGCGGGUGUAGGCGGAGCGGUAAGUACUUUGUGAAAUCCCCGGGCUCAACCCGGGAAUUGCUGGGUAUACUGUCGCUCUUGAGGCAGGGAGAGGUCACUGGAACCUUAGGUGGAGCGGUGAAAUGCGUAGAUAUCUAAGGGAACGCCUGUGGCGAAAGCGGGUGACUGGGCCUGUCCUGACGCUAAGACCCGAAAGCGUAGGGAGCAAACGGG
rnacentral:misc_RNA from 1 species